rnacentral:rRNA from 1 species
GACGAACGCUGGCGGCGUGCUUAACACAUGCAAGUCGAACGGAAAGGCCCUGCUUGCAGGGUACUCGAGUGGCGAACGGGUGAGUAACACGUGGGUGAUCUGCCCUUCACUUCGGGAUACGCCUGGUAAACUGGGUCUAAUACCGGAUAGGAGCCAUUUUUAGUGUGAUGGUUGGAAAGUUUUUUCGGUGUAGGAUGAGCUCGCGGCCUAUCAGCUUGUUGGUGGGGUAAUGGCCUACCAAGGCGGCGACGGGUAGCCGGCCUGAGAGGGUGGACGGCAACAUUGGGACUGAGAUACGGACCAGACUCCUACGGGAGGCAGCAGUGGGGAAUAUUGCAAAAUGGGCGCAAGCCUGAUGCAGAGACGCCGCGUGGGGGAUGACGGCCUUCGGGUUGUAAACUCCUUUCGCUAGGGACGAAGCUUUUUGUGACGGUACCUAGAUAAGAAGCACCGGCUAACUACGUG